AUGAAUAUGGGUUUUUAUUUUGUUAACAACUCCAUCAUCACUGGAAUUACAUCUAAGGACAGCAAAAAUUUCCAUUUUAUG